GACGAACGCUGGCGGCGUGCUUAACACAUGCAAGUCGAACGGAACUUCCUUUUUACCGAGUGCUUGCACUCACCGACAAGGGGGUGAGUGGCGAAUGGGCGAGUCACAAGUUGGCAAUCACUCCAAAAGAGGGGGGUAACAAUCGGAAACAGGUGCUAAUACCGCAUAACGAUAGUUAACGCUUGGUCACUUUGGAAAAGGUGGGCAGACUAUCGCCUUUUGAUGGGGGCGGGGCGCAAUCGCUAGGUUGUGGGGUAAAGGGUUACCAAGGGAGUGCUGCGUAGCCGACGUGAUGGGGUGAUCGGCCACAUUGGGACUGAGACACGGCCCAGACUCCUACGGGAGGCAGCAGUAGGGAAUCUUCCACAAUGGGCGGAAGCCUGAUGGAGCGACGCCGCGUGGGUGAAGAAAGUCUUCGGGUCGUAAAACCCUGUUGUUGGUGAAAAAAGUGCGUGAGAGUAACUGAUCACGUUUUGACGGUAUCUAGUCAGAAAGCCACGGCUAACUACGUG
rnacentral:rRNA from 1 species